rnacentral:rRNA from 1 species
AUUGAACGCUGGCGGCAGGCCUAACACAUGCAAGUCGAACGAGUGGCGGACGGGUGCGUAAUGUCUGGGAAACUGCCUGAUGGAGGGGUAUAACUACUGGACACGGUAGCUAAUACCGCAUACCAUCGGAUGUGCCCAGAUGGGAUAAGCUAGUAGGUGGGGUAAAGGCUCCCCUAGGCGACGAUCCCUGGCUGGUCUGAGAGGAUGACCAGCCACACUGGAACUGAGACACGGUCCAGACUCCUACGGGAGGCAGCAGUGGGGAAUAUUGCACAAUGGGUGAAAGCCUGAUGAAGCCAGGCGGGGUGUAUAAAGAAGGCCUUGGGGUUGUAAAGUACUUUCAGCGGGGAGGCGUUACCCGCAGAAGAAGCACCGGCUAACUCCGUGCCAGCGGCCGCGGUAUUC